AGCAGCCGCGGUAAUUCCAGCUCCAAUAGCGUAUAUUAAAGUUGUUGCAGUUAAAAAGCUCGUAGUUGAAUUUCGGGAUCAAUAUGUUGGUCGUGCCUUGGUACGUACUAAUUUAUUGGUUUCUUCCUUCUGACGAACCAUGAUGUCAUUAAUUUGGUGUUAUGGGGAAUCAGAACUGUUACUUUGAAAAAAAUUAGAGUGUUUAAAGCAGGCUCACGCUUGAAUACAUUAGCAUGGAAUAAUGAAAUAGGACGUUUGAUUCUAUUUUGUUGGUUUCUAGGAUCGACGUAAUGAUUAAUAGGGAUAGUUGGGGGCAUUAGUAUUCAAUUGUCAGAGGUGAAAUUCUUGGAUUUAUUGAAGACUAACUACUGCGAAAGCAUUUGCCAAGGAUGUUUUCAUUAAUCAAGAACGAAAGUUAGGGGAUCGAAGACGAUCAGAUACCGUCGUAGUCUUAACCAUAAACUAUGCCGACUAGGGAUCGGAUGAUGUUAAUUUUUUAAUGACUCAUUCGGCGCCUUAC
rnacentral:rRNA from 1 species